AAAACUGUAUACGAAUCAUUUUAUGAAAAUUCUAAGACACAUGACACACCUCCCUUUUUUCUUUAAGUGAAUAAACCCAAAUAGUGCGAGAAAAAUCAUUAAUAAAUAAUUUAUACCCAGUAAAAGUGACAAUUCUAGGACCCCUAAACAUCAUAAUGUACAUUGAAAAAGGAACAUUAGUUUUAUUAGAAUUGAUAGAAAAAUGAACAUGUUUGUAUUUGCCAAGUUCACAAGAUUCACACUGAAAUAACGAAAUAGAAUUACUACAAAAUAAAGAGGAAAAUAAAUGUUAGAACAAAUGAAAUGCGGGAUGUCCAAGCCGACGGUGCCAAAGCCAAAUAGUUUCUUCAAAAAAUGGAGACAUGGAGGUGUGAUGAGUAACAUACAAUUGUCCCUGUCUAGGAGCCGGAAAGUCCAAAAGGUAUAGGCCAUUGGUCUCCCUCCUCUGCCAAUCGUCGUCCUUAUUUUAAGAUUAUGAAAUACACAAGAAGAAGAAAAAAAAUGUUAUAUUGCAAUUCAAAUCAUGAGUGAUACGACUAAUAAAUAAAAUAUCGGUAUCAAAAGUAGGAACAUGUAAAAUAGAUGACAAGGAAAGAAAAUGUGUGGUAUGCACCAAACCUUUGCCAAAAAUAGAAGAUAAAAUACCAUUAGCUAUCUUAACUCUGUAGGGCCUAUAUAAGGAGUAUAAGAUGAGAAAAGAGAUUGAUCAGUCAUCAGUCAUAUGAUCAGAUGCAAUAGAAUCAAUAAUCAAAAAAAAAAGCAGAAUAAGAAUAAAUACCAACACAUUGGGAAUUAGCCUAGCAGCAUGUUACAUAGUGGGCAAAAGAAGAUCGUCCCGACGAAGUACCCAGUCAGACAUCACGUUGUGAAAAACAACUCAUCUCAAUGUAAUAAGACCAUAAACUCAAAGCCUGAAGAAGGAGGCUAGACACUGUAGAAUGAUGAGCACGAGAACUUCCACCACCAGGGGUGUCAAAAAAAAUCCGCGAACUGCGAAAUCUGAACUGAACCGAACUGAUCCGAGCCUGGUUUUUAUUGGGUCCGUGGAUUAUGGGCCACGGACCGGAUUGGAAAAUUAAAAAUCGUAAUCCGUUCGGUCCAUGAAUUUUUUUAUAAACGAAUCAUGGAAUUAACGAACCGUACCAUGAAUUUGGAAAUAUAAUAUUUAUAAAAUAUUGAUAAGAAUUUAGAAUGACCCCCUCGUCUUCGAGUAGGGCGACCAUAGAGACACCAGCAAGUCUCCGUAGUGUGAUGAGGUCAUUGACAGUAAUCACGAUAUAACUUAUCCUUAUCAUCAUUACCAAUAAAAGGAUCAAAAUCACGAUGGGUAGGCUGGCUGCAACGCUCAGACUGUAGAAUAUAAACAAGGGCCGACCGCUCAGAAGGAAUAGGUGGUAACAUCACAUCCCGACGUCUCUCCUCAUUUUGGAUAAAGGCAAAAUCCUCUCUCAAUGAUGGAAUUGGAUCCAUAUUAAAUAUAUGGCACCGGGCCUGAUCAUAUUGAUUUUGUAAGCCUGUUAAUACCCGUUGUCUUUCAAUAAAUUUUAAAAUAGUAUCAGCAUAACAAAGAGGAGUAUAAUCAGGCAGGUGAUCGAGGCACUGCCAUAAAGUAGUAAGAGCAGAAUAUUAAUAUAGGGAUGUCAUCUCGACCUGGUCCAAACGGUCUACAUUCUCCUGCAAAUCAUACACCUGUGCUGUGUUACCUAGUCUGGAGUAGGUCUCAAAGAUAGUAUCCCAAAUAUCCUUGGCUGUAUUGAGAGACAAGAAGCCCUCGCCAAUCUCUGAAAUCAUAGAAUGAAAUAACCAACUCAUAAUCAAAGAGUCUUUUGAUCCUUCUUAUCAAAUCCGGGAUUCCCCACAUUGAGAAAAGUAAUAGUAUCAUUAAUAUACUUAAUUUUACUUUUACUUUUCAGGAAGAGUAUGACAGAUUUGGACCAGAAUAAGUAAUUAGUACUAUCAAACAAAGUCAUGGUGAUUCGUAGGUUGGGGUUUUCAUUCGAGACAACAAUCUCUCCUGACAUCACAAAGGGAAUUGUAUAGCCAACUGUAGUUUGGCUAGUUGGACUAUUCUCUGACAUAAUGACAGAAAAGAAUAAGGUCCACAACAAUCACAAUACAAGAAAAAAAUUGGGUAUCAAGAAUAAUGACAAAUAGUUGCAUAAAGAACAACUCUAUUUAAAACAUCAAAAAAGGGACCUGAAAAGCAAUAGAUCUCGGUUGUAGGCUAUAGGCUAGAGAGUCAAUGAAGGUUGUUUGCUAAGGGAGUCGAACAGGUGAACAAGAGUCAAUUAGGUCUAAAGCAUUCAAACAUGGGAAGUAUUUCGAACAACAAGCGAACAACAGGGGAUGGUUAAUUGAUAGCAGCGAAACCCAAAGAGUUGAAUUAUUCAAAUGAGAAAAGCGAACUAUUCUAUUGGGAAAAGUCGAACUAUUCGAUUGGGAAAAGUCGAACUAAACAGUAGACUAAUAGUCGAUCAACCUGCCCAAGCUGACUUCCAAUCUAAUAGACGAACAAUAGAGGGAGAUUAACAAUCAAAAGUUGAUAGUUGUCGGCGAGAGAAGGUAGUGGUGUGGCGGUGGAACUCUAACCCUAAUUAGGGGGUUCUGAUACCAUGUUAUUUAGGGAAACACUGAAUUAGAGUUGAGGUUGAGAAGUCUCUUCACUUUUAUAUUAAAUAAUCAUAAAUAAAUAAUUACACCCAAGUCCCUUAAUAAUAACCUAAUAAUAAAAAAGACAAAUAAGCUAAUAUCUAACAAUUUCAUAAAAUACAUGAAGCAAUAAAUGAUGUUUUUUUUUAAGGAAAUAGAAAUGCAUUAAAUCAACAAACAAAAACUAAUACAAAGCUAGUUGAGAGAUGUUUUAACAAGGUUAUGAGCAACUCUCACAACAGCAAGGUUAUGACUCUCACAACAGCUCUAGGAAAUAAAUGGUGUUUUAAAAUUAGGGCAUUGCAGCAUCUCGUACAUAAAGCGACUUCUAGCUUAAAAAAAAACUCAUGGAUUGAUUGUUAUUAUUUUUUUUAAACAUAAAAUAAAUUUUUGGAAGGUCAAAUAACUAUUUUUUAAAGGUUACUCAACUCAUACUUCUCAGCUUCUACUUUUAUUUGUUAGCCAAUUAUACAAGCAAAAUGACAAGAUAACCAUGCUUGUUUGACUUAAAUGUAUCCUCAUAAAUAAUUAACCUAUCAAGCACCCUUUAUCAUUACUAACAGUGUGAGUCGGCUUUAAUAAUAUGUCUACACCAAAUUAUGGUAUUAUCUUUUUAUAAUAGUAUAGAUUUGACUAUCUCCUCAUCUCUCUCAUUCCUGAAGCCCCACCUUAUACUAGUGCCACUGUUCCAAACUUUAUCCGUCGCUUUCGUCGACCACUGCCUUUGACUGUCAAUAUGCCGCCAAUCACCUUUUAAUUUUUAUUUUUAUUUGUUAAUUUUUCAUGAAUAUGUAGUGUUUAUUUGCUUAGUAAGGCAUAUUUAAUUCAUAAACUAACAUGUAUUUAUUUUUUCUAUUCAAUUAAGGGUAAUAACAUUAUGGACAAAUUCACAAGAAAGGACUAUUUUACAACUUUCCCGUAAACAAAACACUAAUUGCUUAAAUUCAUAACUCCACAAUAAUUACUAACAACCCAUAAUACAGCUAAGUAGUCCUGUAGACACUAAUUAAUCUAGUAAGUACUUGUUAUUUCUCUUCCUAAUUAAGUCAUAUUUUGGCAAGAAAGUUUAAAAUAACUUCUUCAAUGGCCUACGAAAUUUAAAGCCAGAAAAUUAAGUUUGACAUUUCCCAAGCCAAAUUUGGCUAAAACAUAAAAAUGAGAUAAAGAAUCAUUUUUUUUGGAUGACUGAAAGAAUCAUCUAAUCUUUUAGCUAUAAAUUAGUAAAAAAUCACUAAUGGCUAUCGAGUUCACCAAAAAAUUAUAGGCUAAACGAACCACCCUUGAAAAUCAGGCUAAAAAAUCAUAUGCCCAACCAAAAGAAAUCAAGCCAAAUAAAAAAAAGGGAGAUUUUUAAGCCCAAACACGGCUAAAAAGAAUCUAGGCCAAAUAUGUCAAAAAAUAGUUUUGAAAUCAGUGAAUUAACUUUACUAAAGUUUGGCAAAAUAAAAUUGUAGCAAGCAGGAAAUGGCUUUACCUUUAGAAAAAUGAGACAACCCAAUGAAAAUUCUCUAUCUAGUAGACAAAAUGAAUAAUUGAGUGGCACUGCCAUCUAAGUUACACCGGCCCCAACACCAACCAAAGACGAAAUGCGAAUGGAAAAAUUAGAUUAGUGGGCCAUCAUGGACCCAAAGGUUAAUAUUAAUUUAGUGGUUUGACCGAAAAUAAUAUUUUUAGAAGUGGUGAGUUGUGAAUAAUAUCAAAUACAUAUAACGUUGGACGAUUUUACCUCUGAACCACUUAAAUGGCGUCGUUUUGAAAAUUUGUAUAAAAAUUCGGUAUGUAAGGAUUUGCACCCUACAUCUUCUUAGUUUGUUUGUACACUAGCCCAGCUCUUGCCACAAACUCCCCCCUCCACCCUCUCUCUUUUCGAAGGCUUGUGGAUCAAUACCAAUCAACUCCCAAAGCAUAUCCAACUGCGGUCACUACGGCCAUGUGAACUUGUCGGGCACAUCCAAACUUGUACCGAUAGCAUAUCCAACUUGCACCCAGGCAUGCGUUGUUGCUCUAGGUUCAACCGGUUGAACAAAAGUGUUCAACCGGUUGAGUUUAAUUAGUAGGUCCAUGGGUGUAGUCCAACCAAUUGAACACUUUUGUUCAACCCAUAGAGUUUAAGUAGUGUUACAGGAACAGCAAUAAAGACACUUUCAAACGGUAGGGUUAGUAGCAGUGCCGUUAGACAUUUGCCAAUUUGUACUCAAGCAAUUCGACUUUGCACUCAGGGCACAAAUGGACUUGUCACCCUGUUGUAACCAUUAAAUGUGUUUGUUGGAUUUAAUUAUGUUAUAUCCCAUGUUUUUAGUACUAUUGAGCAUGUGAACCCUACGUGGGUUGUAGUUUUUAAGUGACCAACCGCUAGAAAUUGAAAAAUUAGUUAACACACCAACUGUCAUGUUUAAAGGACCCACCUGCCUUAUUUUGGUGAUUAAUGCUUGUUAGGUUUAACUGAGGAAAACUCUUGUGUUUUUCACUUACUCUCAUUACUGCCAAUGAGGAUGGCCAAAAACACAUUGAGACCACCCUUACAAGACCAAGUUUGAAGCAUUAUGUCAGAUUUACUAGGACAGGUAUUUCCUAUUUCAAUAUGAUAGAAAAUCUAUUCUUGCGAUUUUGUAAUAUAUGUGGGAAAUACUUGAAGUUUGACUGUUCAGUUGAGGUUAAAGAGACAUACUUUGUGAUUAGGUGGGCUUGUUCAAUUAUACACUAUUAUGUUGCUCAUCUAGUAAAAUUCUCAUCAAUUUAGUAGCUCAAAUUCGCGUCAAUUUUCUAGGCUUUGCACACACCAGUUGAAAAUGAAUUGAUGGACGCAAAACUUCCUUAACUAUAUCGAUGGAGUUUGAUCCUGGUUGGUGGCUCAACUCCAUAUACCAGACUUGUGCCAAGGAACUGAGUUUGAAGCUUGACUAGAAAAGAAACCUAAUGUUUCAGUCAAUCCUGAUGAAGUUGUUGCUCUUGGAGCUGCAGUUUAGGUUUGUUCUUUUUAUGACUGCCUUAUCACCCCCCCUAACCAAUACACACACACCCAACACACACAUUCCUCGAUCUUAUUUGCGAAUUAUGAACGUCUAUAGUAUUUUGAAAUGUCUUUCAAAUUGAGGAAUAUAAAGGGCACAUUUUCUAGUCGUAUACAAAAUUGCCUGCAUUCUUAUUUUAUUUGGGAUUCCAAGCAGGCGUUUUAGCUGGAGAUGUUCGUGACAUUGUGCUUUUGGAUGUUUCUCCGCUGUCUCUUGGUCUGGAAACUUUGGGUGGUGUAAUGACAAAGAUUAUCCCAAGGAAUACAACCUUCCGACAUCCAAAUCAGAAGUGUUCUCCAUGCUGCAGAUGGGAAGACGAGUGUCUGAGAUCAACGUCCGUCAAGGUGAAAGAGAGUUUUGUUAGGGACAAACAAAUCUUAGGAGCUUUCGUCUGGAUGGUCAUCGCACAAGCUCCGUGCGGGGUUGAUUUCCCCAAUUGAAGUCAAAUUGGACAUUGAAUGCAAUGGUAUCCUUUCCGGGGUCACGGCUGUUGGACAAGGGAAAGGAAGAGAAGAAGAAGGAAUCACAAUAAACUGGUGGAUGAUAGUACCUGCCGCAGAGAUGAGGUAUGUGUUUGAGUUGAACUCUAAUUAUUAGGGUAAUAAGAUGGUUGUAAAAUAUUCUCAGUAGUCAAUCGCUUGGGAUCUCCGAGUGUUGGUUGUUUCAUUUUAGCUCAAUAUUAUUAGGUGAAUCUUAAACUUAUACCUUGUUUGGGUGAAUGAAAAUGUUUUAGGUGGAGAGGAUGGUUAAAGAGGCAGAGAAGUUUGCAAAGGAGGAUAGGGAAAGAAGGGAUGCUAUCGACACAAAUAAUCAGGCAGAGUCCGUUGUGUACCAAACUGAAAAGCAGCUCAAGGAACUGCGAGACAAGGUGCCUUCUGCCGUAAACGAAAACGUGGAGGCCAAACUGAAAGAGCUCAAGGAUGCCAUCUCCGGUGGCGGUUCAAAUAAAUCAUUAAAGAUGCAAUGGCCUCCCUCAACCAAGUAGUCAUGCACCUCAGACAGUCCGUUUAUGCCCAGACGGGUGGGUCUUCGCCUGGUGUUGAUGCUGGCCCAUCACCGUCUAGUAAAGCAGCUCGUGGCGAUGGCGAUGGCAACGGUGACGUAAUCGAUGCGGACUUCAUGAUGAAAGCAGAGUUUGGUCUCCUCAGAAGGGUUUGACCGUAUUUGUAAAAUAAAAUUCAAUAAACUGCUGAAUUUAUAAGUAGAAAAUAAAUUACAGAUAAAUAAAAAAAUUAUAUUAAAAAAAUAAUAUUAACAGAUAAUCAAAAUAAAAACAAAUAAAAAAGGUUGAUCGAGGCCAGCGAUAAACCACUAGGUCCUUAAACAGAAUCACCCCGUCACUGGUUGUGCUUACAGCUGUUGGCAUCUGUCUCCUAAGAUUGCAACAAUCUCGCUCAUAGAUAUUAGACAAUUUUUGUGUGAUCAGCGAACCAGAAAGUAGUGUCACUCUCUCAUGAAUGACUCUAAUGGCAGAAUGCCGAAGCUUCUUGCUUUCUCAACUGCUUGGAACUUCAGAUUUUGUGUGUUUGAACUUGCAAAUGAUUUGGGUAUUUAUAGAAUUUUCAAUGGACUGAUGAAAAAGGAUAAACCCGAAUUUACUAACAUUGAAAGCCAUGGUAACAGCCCAACUAACAAGCCAAAAUUACUCCCCUCUACGGCUGAUAAUGGCUGCUUUGAUGUUAUCAAGCUGAUGAAAAGGUCAGACCUUAGUUGAAAGGAUAAAGAUGGGAAGAUUAAUCUGUAAUUAAAAAAUUACAUGGGGUUAAUUUGUAAUUAACAAAUUAUAAAGAAAUUAAUUCUAUACUUUUAAAACUAUAAGAUUAAAAGUAAUAAUCAAUUACUCAGUACACCACCAUUGCACCACGCGCAGCGCUAAUGUGCAAGUGCGCCUCUAAAAUAGCGCCACAAAGUGCCCAUUUGCACCCAUUGCCCACGACACGCGCCACGAGGGACCGCGACUCCAGCUGGCGCCGUCGCGAGUACAAUGAAAUCUAAGAUACCAAUUGGAUCACUUGUCCAUAAACUCCAUCUUAGCUGCUAAGUACUCAUUUUGCUAAUGUUGCUUGGAGUUAUUAACACUUUACAGAGUGAUUCUUAAACUGUCACACACAAUUUAUUAUUCCAUUAAACUAUAGGUUGGGAUCUCCACAAUCAAAUAGGUUGGGUUGCCAUUGAAGGGCAAUUUAAUAAUUAGGAUCUAAUCUCAUUAAACUCGAUAUCGAUAAAAUGCCUCCUUAGUCAAACUUGUAGGUCAAUGGACCGCCCAUAUAUCUUGUGGACUUUAUAACUCAAUGGAUAUUAAUUCCACAGGAAAGAAGGUAACAGUAUUGUGUCUUCGCUGUGUGUCUAGAAUUACCAGUUAUACAUGGUUAUUAUCUGUCUUUUGAUUGCGAUUAAACAUUCAAUGGAUGCAUAUGCAGAAGAACUAGCUUAGGCCAUACAGGAAUAUAUUCUAAGAGUGGCGAAGCCAUUCAGCCUCUUCUCCAAAACUUUAUCUAAAGCUGUAAAUAUUUAAUUUAUGUGGACCUUGCCAAUACAUGGUUUUUGGAGGACUUCAAGACAAGCUGACCCACCAACUUGUAAAUACUUAUCCUCUCGGUGGAUUUAGAUCUUUACUAUCAGAUAUCCACUUGAAUCAUAUACCCUUUAGUACUGCUGAUUAUCUCGUUGGUUUUUGUAGUGUGACCGUAAUUUGGGUAUAUAUUAAUUAUCUAAAACCGAUUAUUGUUUGCCAAUGAUCACCAAUUGGUUUUUAUGGUAUAAUUAUCAGCUUAUUACCGCCAUAAUAAGUUAUAUCUGGCCCUGUGCAAAUCAUAAGAUACAUUAAACUUCUAAUGAUCUGGGGAGGGAAGGAUUCUGAUUGCGAUAUACCUUCACUAUAUUCUUUUUCAAAUGAUGUUUUGGAGCAAUAGGUAUUCUAGCCACACUAUUAUCAUGAUUGCUAAAUUUCUUAAGAAUUUAUCAACAUAGUGUGAUUGUGAAUAGGUAUAUCUUUCAGAUGUCUAUAAUUUUUAAUUCUAACAUCACAUCUUCUAUACCCCUAUCCUUCACGUAAACUUAGAGUUUAACAUUUUCUUGGUAGUUUUAAUCAUGGCAUUAUUAGCUACCAACAAUGAGCAUAUUAUCCACAUAAAACAAACAAUGCAUAUCAUUAUCAGUGUCCCUUCACAUAGACACAUUGUCCACAUUCAUUGAUUUGAAUGCAUUUGUAACAUUACACUAUCAAAUUUCUCAUGCCACUGUUUGGGUACUUCUUAAGGCCGUAUAAAGAUGUACAAGUUUACACACUUUAUUCUCUUAUUCGGGAAUCACAACACCCUUCAGGUUAUUCCUCCAUAUAGGACGUCCCCUCAUCUAAUUCACCAGUUGAGGAAUGUUGGUCUUAAUCAUCCCUUUGAUGUAUCUCUAAUCAUAUAACGCGCAUAGCAUGAUCAUUCUAUGGAUGUUAUUCUCGGACCGGAGAAUAAGUAUUGAAUUAAUCAUUCCUUCGGUUUGUCUAUAUCCUAACUACUAGAAGCUUGCUUAUAUUUGUCAAUUAAACCAUCUGUUUUCAUCUUUCUUUUUUGAAAAAUUCACUUAUUCCACGUGGUUUAUAAACUUGUUUUGGAGAUUCCACAAAUUUCCUGUAUGAUUUUUGCAAGAUGGAUUCACCCUAACUAGUUAUACUUCCUUCUAGAAGGAGCUUUCCGGAUGAGGACUAGCUUCCCCAAAAGUUUGAGUUCAUUUUUAACAAUAAGGUUAGAAAAUCUAUCCAUAAACCUUAGACUUCGAGCUCGGUUGGCUCCGUCUAGGUUUCACCACCUCUUUCUCUUCUUGAUCAAAUUCCUGAUUGGAUUUGGUCAUUGCCUAUAACAUGUCAUACUCCCUCUUUCAAAGUAUUCAACUCUGUGUAAGUAUAUAGAAACACAUCCUCAACAAAUAUGCUUUUUAGAUUCCAUAAAUCAAUUUGACAUGAAUACAGAAUUUUCACUCUUAUGCCCAGAAAUCGAUAAGCACGCUAUUAUUUGCUAUCUUAUGAACCACAAUUAAUCGUUUUCGAUGCCUAUUUUUACCCUUUUAGUGUCAGGAAUGCAACUUAGCCAAACACCCACACACUUUUUAAGUAUUUUGUAGGAAAGUCAGACAUUUCCACAAUUCAUAUAUAGUUUAUUAUUUUUCUUGUGGAGACUUUUUAAAUAUGUAAUUUUGCAGAAAGGAUUGCUUCCCUCACAAGUUCUGGGAUAAACUCGAAUUAUCAACAUGGCUUUGCUAUUUCUUUUAAAGUUUAUUUUUUCCUUUCUGUAACACCAUUUGUUGCGGUGAAUAGGGUGUAGUGUUUGGUGAAUUAUUCCAUGUUUAGA
rnacentral:lncRNA from 1 species